rnacentral:rRNA from 1 species
AUUGAACGCUGGCGGCAGGCCUAACACAUGCAAGUCGAGCGAGCGGCGGACGGGUGAGUAAUGUAUGGGGACUGCCCGAUAGAGGGGGAUAACUACUGGAAACGGUGGCUAAUACCGCAUACUAUCGGAUACCCCAUAUGGGAUUAGCUAGUAGGUGGGGUAAAGGCGCACCUAGGCGACGAUCUCUAGCUGGUCUGCGAGGAUGAUCAGCCAAAAGGGGACUUGGACACGGCCCAGACUCCUACGGAGGCAGCAGGGGGGAAAAUUGGACAAUGGGCGCAAGCCUGAUGCAGCCAGGCCCCGGGGAUGAAGAAGGCCUUAGGGUUGUAAAGGACUUUCAGCGGGGAGGCGUUAACCGAAGAAGAAGCACCGGCUAACUCCGUGCCAGCCCCCGCGGUAAUAC